rnacentral:lncRNA from 1 species
GUCAGAGCAGGGGAGACAGAUCGUCCACCCUCAAACACCAGUUCUGCUGAAGCUCAGGAAGUUUACCAGAUGCUUGGCAUCCACAUGGCCUCAGGAAUCUUCACAUCCAAGGCCUCCUCUUCUGUCCCAGGACUGAGCUACUGCCCCUCCCCAGGACUGACCAGUGACUGGCCGAGCCUCUACUCAAGACCCUCCCACCAACUGGGCCCGGACAGGGUGUCUGCAGCAUUAUAGGCCAGUCAAGAUGGGGGAGGCCAGGCAGUAGAGCAGCGCAGUGGGCGGGGCACAGACCCGGCCCAGGGCUCCGUGAUGUCAGCGGGUGCUGGCAGAGAGAGGGGGUCGGCUGUUUUUCUGAAGAGUUAGAGCUGAGUAAGACAAAGCACGGUGCAGUCCCCGCAGGCGCCAUGGAACUGCUAUCCCGUGUCUUGUUGUGGAAACUGGUGCUUCUUCAGAGUUCUGCAGUCCUGUCCUCAGGUUAGUAUCCCUUACCCAGCUGUGGCUCCACUCCUCUCCUAAUCCGUC